GGCUGGUCCAAAGGUAGUGAGUUAGCCUCACUUCAAUGUUCACAGUCAAUUACAGAUUGAACUCCUUGUUCUACUUCUUUCCCUCCUCCUCACUACUGCACUUGACUAAUCUAAG
rnacentral:Y_RNA from 1 species